UGGUUCCACUGGGGAUCGAACCCAGGACCUUCUGCGUGUAAAGCAGACGUGCUAACCACUACACUAUGGAACC
rnacentral:tRNA from 1 species